rnacentral:rRNA from 1 species
GAUGAACGCUGGCGGCGUGCCUAAUACAUGCAAUCGAGCGAACAGACGAGGAGCUUGCUCCUCUGACGUUAGCGGCGGACGGGUGAGUAACACGUGGAUAACCUACCUAUAAGACUGGGAUAACUUCGGGAAACCGGAGCUAAUACCGGAUAAUAUAUUGAACCGCAUGGUUCAAUAGUGAAAGACGGUUUUGCUGUCACUUAUAGAUGGAUCCGCGCCGCAUUAGCUAGUUGGUAAGGUAACGGCUUACCAAGGCAACGAUGCGUAGCCGACCUGAGAGGGUGAUCGGCCACACUGGAACUGAGACACGGUCCAGACUCCUACGGGAGGCAGCAGUAGGGAAUCUUCCGCAAUGGGCGAAAGCCUGACGGAGCAACGCCGCGUGAGUGAUGAAGGUCUUCGGAUCGUAAAACUCUGUUAUUAGGGAAGAACAAAUGUGUAAGUAACUAUGCACGUCUUGACGGUACCUAAUCAGAAAGCCACGGCUAACUACGUG